UGUGGCCAUUGUUCGUAUAAUGAAGACAAGGAAGGUCCUCAGCCACACCCUACUAAUAGCUGAGCUUUACCAGCAGCUCAAGUUCCCGGUUAAACCAGCCGAUAUCAAGAAAAGAACCGAGAGCUUGAUCGACCGGGAGUACCUGGAGCGAGACAGGAGUAACCCCCAAAUCUACAACUACCUGGCUUGACAGCGCUUGGCGUACCAUCGAAUAGACCGUGCUCACUUUAUUGUCAAAAAGACAUUGUAAAUUAUUUUACUACUAUCCAGUUCCUUGUUCUUUCCUGUUUUUGUUUUCUGGAAGGGAGUUGUAGCAGUUGCAACAUGCGUUUGUAUACGAGAACGAUUUUUCAGUAUAAAAAGUAAGCAUAAUGCAUGUAUCCGUUCACAUGUUA